GGGCGAUUGGCUCAGUGGUAGAGCAUCUCGUUUACACCGAGAGGGUCGGCGGUUCGAAUCCGUCAUCGCCCACCA
rnacentral:tRNA from 1 species